rnacentral:rRNA from 1 species
CGAGCGGUAACAGAAAGAAAGCUUGCUUUCUUUGCUGACGAGCGGCGGACGGGUGAGUAAUGCCUAGGGAUCUGCCCAGUCGAGGGGGAUAACAGUUGGAAACGACUGCUAAUACCGCAUACGCCCUACGGGGGAAAGGAGGGGACCUUCGGGCCUUUCGCGAUUGGAUGAACCUAGGUGGGAUUAGCUAGUUGGUAAGGUAAUGGCUUACCAAGGCGACGAUCCCUAGCUGUUCUGAGAGGAUGAUCAGCCACACUGGGACUGAGACACGGCCCAGACUCCUACGGGAGGCAGCAGUGGGGAAUAUUGCACAAUGGGGGAAACCCUGAUGCAGCCAUGCCGCGUGUGUGAAGAAGGCCCUAGGGUUGUAAAGCACUUUCAGUAGGGAGGAAAGGUAGCUGUUUAAUACGCUGUUGCUGUGACGUUACCUACAGAAGAAGGACCGGCUAACUUCGUGCCAGCAGCCGCGGUAAUACGAGGGGUCCAAGCGUUAAUCGGAAUUACUGGGCGUAAAGCGUACGCAGGCGGUUCAUUAAGCCAGAUGUGAAAUCCCCGGGCUCAACCUGGGAAUUGCAUUUGGAACUGGUGAACUAGAGUCUUGUAGAGGGGGGUAGAAUUUCAGGUGUAGCGGUGAAAUGC